rnacentral:rRNA from 1 species
AUCAACUUUCGAUGGUAGGAUAGAGACCUACCAUGGUGGUAACGGGUAACGGGGUGUUAGGGCACGACACCGGAGAGGGAGCCUGAGAAACGGCUACCACAUCCAAGGAAGGCAGCAGGCGCGCAAAUUACCCAAUCCCGACACGGGGAGGUAGUGACAAUAAAUAACAAUACAGGGUUCUUUUGGAUCUUGUAAUUGGAAUGAGUACAAUUUAAAUCUCUUAACGAGGAACAAUUGGAGGGCAAGUCUGGUGCCAGCAGCCGCGGUAAUUCCAGCUCCAAUAGCGUAUAUUAAAGUUGUUGCAGUUAAAAAGCUCGUAGUUGAAUUUCGGGAUCAAUAUUUCGGUCAUGCCGUUGGUAUGCACUGUUAUCAUUGAUUUCUCACCUUCUAAAGAACCGUAAUGCCAUUAAUUUGGUGUUACGGGGAAUUAGGACUGUUACCUUGAAAAAAUUAGAGUGUUUAAAGCAGGCUCACGCUUGAAUACAUUAGCAUGGAAUAAUGAAAUAGGACAUCCGAUUCUAUUUUGUUGGUUUCUAGGAUCGAUGUAAUGAUUAAUAGGGAUAGUUGGGGGCAUUAGUAUUCAAUUGUCAGAGGUGAAAUUCUUGGAUUUAUUGAAGACUAACUACUGCGAAAGCAUUUGCCAAGGAUGUUUUCAUUAAUCAAGAACGAAAGUUAGGGGAUCGAAGACGAUCAGAUACCGUCGUAGUCUUAACCAUAAACUAUGCCGACUAGGGAUCGGAUGAUGUUAAUUUUUUAAUGACUCAUUCGGCGCCUUACGGGAAACAAAGUGUUUGGGUUC